UGAGCUUGAUCGGAACUUUAACAUUGAUGAGUCAGGCUUCGUGUUUUUUCUAAUAAAACCAAAAUUCUUGGCUGAAAAAGGCUCAAAAAACGUCCCUUACAACACCUCAAAAGAUAAGGAAAGAAUUACUAUUUUAGCUAAUGUUAGUGCAGAAGGAUCAUUGCCAACACCACUUGUAAUAUAUUCUAAUGUGCGUAUUCUAAUGAACGUUUAUGCAUCUUUACCUCAUGAUGCAGCAUGAUUGAAGGUGGCAGAAGGUUAUAAAACAAAAUGCAACUCCUAUGUUUCAAAAGUAUCUUUCUCUAGUCUUUUUCUCCCAAUGUACUCAAAAUCAAUGACUGAGGUGAAAGUUAAAAAUGCUUUCAAGAAAGGCGGAUUUAGCCAUUUAAUACUGAUGCUAUUGAUUACGCAAAGUUUAUCUUACAAGAAGAACAUGCUGGAGAUAAGCACCUUUUUGAGGGUGUUUCAAUAAAGGUGGCUUUGUUGAAGCCUCAACCUCAACCAAUAUUAUACUUGAAUGAAAGCACUCAGACUAAGCCAAGUAAGAAACUCUUCAAAUAGGUUUCACUGAAGCACAAGCAACUGGGUCAUACAUAAACCUAAUUUAGAAUAUUCAUACAGAAUUUUAAAAAGUUGCAUUGAAUUUGUAUUGGAUUGUCCCAGAUUAGACAUGCUUAAAACAAGCAAACGAAGAAACAGAUUUGAUUUUACGUUUAAACGAAACAGGUGAUUUGAGACACAAAUCAGCACAUCCACAAAUCCAAGUUCUCCCAAGAUCCAACCCUCUGCAAGUGGAAUUAAUUGCCAUUACUCUUUUUCUGAUAAUUCAUCCUUUGCAACGAUUCCGCAAAUGGUGAGCGCUUUUUUUCAACAGUUCAAAAGAAGUUUUUGAUAAGAAAAAAGUAAUAUGAUAAUGUAAAAGAAAUUGAAUAAUUAAAUUAAUUAAAAAUAAAAACAAGAAAA